AUACUUACCUGGGAAGGGAGAUACCGUGAUCAAGAAGGCGGUUCACCC
rnacentral:snRNA from 8 species